GGGGGAUAAAUUAAUAAAGUAUAAAUAAUAAAAAAAUUUUUAAUAUUAAAAUAGUUUAAUGGGGGUUAAAGUAUAUUUAAUAGAAAAAAUAAAAAAAUUUAUAGAAAAUUAGUAUUGUAAAAGAAAUUUGAAAUAUUUUGAAAAUGAAUUUAUUUAAAAGUAAAUUUAAUUUAUUGUAUCUUGUGUAUCAGAGUUUAUUAAUAAUAAUUUUUAUUUAAAAAUUUCUCGAAUUUAAAAGAGAUAAUUGAUUAUUAAAGUUAAUAUUGUAUAAUUAUUUUAAAUAAUUAAUUUGAAAUGAAAUGUUAAUCGUUUUUAAAUAUAUCUAGUUUUUUUAGAAAAAAAUUUAAUUUUAAAUUUUAAAAAAAUAUAAUUUUAAUUAAUUAAAAUUAUAUUUUUAAAGUUAAAUAUUUUAAGGGAUAAGCUUUAAAAUAAAUUUUUAUAAUAAAUUUAAAAAUAAUUAAAAUUUUUAAAAUUUAUAUUGUUUAAAAAUUAUAAUUUUUUAUAAAUAAUUUUAAUUAAAAUAAAAUUUAAAAUUUAUUUAAUUUUUUAUUAAAAAAUAUUUUUUAAUAAUUAAAAUUUAGAUAUAAUGAUAAAAUUAGUAUAUAAUUAAAUAAAAAUAAUUUAUUAUUUAAUAAUUUAAUAAAAGGAAUUCGGCAAAUAUUUAUAUUCACUUGUUUAUCAAAAACAUGUCUUUUUGAUUAAUAAUUUAAAGUCUAAUCUGCCCACUGAUAAUAUAUUAAAGGGCUGCAGUAUUUUGACUGUACAAAGGUAGCAUAAUCAUUAGUCUCUUAAUUGGUGACUUGUAUGAAAGAUUUGAUGAAAUAUAUACUGUCUCUAAUUAAUUUAUAAAAUUUAAUUUUUUAGUUAAAAAGCUAAAAUAAAUUUAAAAGACGAGAAGACCCUAUAGAGUUUAAUAUUUAUAUAAAUUGAGAUUUUAUAUAAGAAUUAUAAUUUUAAUAAUAUAUAAAUAUUUUGUUGGGGUGACAAAAAAAUUAAAAUAACUUUUUUUAUAUUUUUACAUUUAUAAAUGAAUAAAUGAUCCAUAAUUUAUGAUUAUAAGAAAAAAUUACCUUAGGGAUAACAGCGUAAUUUUUUUUUUUAGUUCAAAUAAGAAAAAAAGUUUGCGACCUCGAUGUUGGAUUAAGAUAAAAUUUAAAUGCAAAAGUUUAAAAUUUUUGAUCUGUUCGAUCAUUAAAAUCUUACAUGAUCUGAGUUCAAACCGGUGUAAGCCAGGUUGGUUUCUAUCUUUAGAUUAAUAAAAUAUUUUAGUACGAAAGGAUCAAAUAUUUAAAAUAAUUUUAUAUAAAAGAAUUUUAAUAAUAGUUAAAUAAAUUUA
rnacentral:rRNA from 1 species